rnacentral:rRNA from 1 species
CCUACGGGUGGCAGCAGUGAGGAAUAUUGGUCAAUGGGCGCGAGCCUGAACCAGCCAAGUAGCGUGAAGGAUGACUGCCCUACGGGUUGUAAACUUCUUUUAUAAAGGCAUAAAUUGAGGCACGUGUGCCUUUUGUAUGUACUUUAUGCAUAAGGAUCGGCUAACUCCGUGCCAGCAGCCGCGGUAAUACGGGGGAUCCGAUCGUUAUCCGGAUUUAUUGGGGUUAAAGUGUUCGUAGGCGGAGCGUUAAGUCUGUGGUCAACUUGAGGGGCUCAACCCCUUCCCGCCAUUGAAAUGGGCGCUCUGGAGUGGAAGAGAAGUAUGCGGAAUGCGUGGUGUAGCGGUGAAAUGCAUAGAUAGCACGCAGAACCCCGAUUGCGAAGGCAGCAUGCCGGCUUCCUACUGACGCUGAAGCACGAAAGCGUGGGGAUCGAACAGGAUUAGAUACCCGUGUAGUC